UGAAGGGCCAGUUGGCCAGGUGGCCAGGUGUUAGCCCCACUGAUGAACAUAGCUCUUGGGUGGCCCUGUGGCAGCCAGCAUUAUAUCUUAAAACUGCCUCAUGCAGUGCCGUUUCCACAGCAAUCAACCACGCAUGCUAUUCUUUGGGCAUCAGGGACCACAGCACGGAAUGAAAUGAUCCUGAUCCAUUCCGCGUCUUUGCUCCCAGGCAGCGUUGCAGAAGAGAAGCCCGUGAGAGGCGCUCAUACACAGGUAGCAGUGCUUCUGCAACAUAGCGUGGAAGAUUGUACCGAUGCUUCGGAGGUGGCACACCAUCACUCUUGCUGGCGUUACGACGACACUACGAGUCUGCACCCUCAGGGCACAAGUCAUGGUGCCUCAACUUAAGUAUAUUGCUACUACUUGGGGAUGCCUACAGUGAUAAAACGGACAUGUAUCAGCACACAAGCAGUUCUAAGUACAGCAGGUUUCUCUGACAGCAGUGUUGGCAACCGCUCCUCAGAGAAUGACGUCAUGCCUGACACGGGUGCUCGUGGAGACCAAUCAGAAAGAGCUGCCCUCCUCCCCUCCGUUACUUCUCCCACUUCACUCUCAUGCAAGAUACCAGGCACCAAUCCAGAAAACUGUCUGAUUGGCUAAUGAAAGCUACUCGCUUUAAAAUCAAGCUCCUCGGUUCCAC